AGCGAACGCUGGCGGCAGGCCUAAUACAUGCAAGUCGAACGAAGCCUUCGGGCUUAGUGGCGGACGGGUGAGUAACACGUGGGAACGUACCCUUUGGUCGGAACAACUCAGGGAAACUUGAGCUAAUACCGAAUGAGCCCCAUCCUUGAACAAGAUGGGGUGGGAAAGAUUUAUCGCCAUUGGAGCGGCCCGCGUCUGAUUAGCUAGUUGGUGGGGUAAAGGCCCACAAGGCUACGAUCAGAGCUGGUCUGAGAGGAUGAAUCAGCCACACUGGGACUGAGACACGGCCCAGACUCCUACGGGAGGCAGCAGUAGGGAAUCUUGCGCAA
rnacentral:rRNA from 1 species